rnacentral:piRNA from 1 species
UAUUGAUCUGGUGCAGGAGAUUCUG